CUUUUGUCUUGUAAAUAUGAAUUGUGACAGCUGACAUCUGUUGUAUCAAUGUAUCGAUUUUCUGCUGUGGAUCAAAUUUAGUAUAGAGAGUAAUGGAAUUUCUUUACUAUUGGUACUGACUACGAAAUUUGUGGUAUCAUGACAUCCUUACUAGAGUUUGCUGAUCAACUUCACAAGUAAAUAUAGUAAAACAAAUUAAAGGAACACUUUGACAUUUGAGGGCUAGAUGUUAUCUUAUCUUCCGCUAGCUUGGCGCCUUGAAGCAAAAUUCUUAUACUAGCGCCUCCAAAGCACACUUAUUAAGAUUUUAUAUCUAAUUUGUUUAAUCAAUAAACAAAAUUGUUACCUUUGGACAGAUCCAAAGGUGUAGCUGUUUCCAUCUGUUUCCAGUGUAUGCUAAGCUAACUGGCUGCUGGUGGUAGCUUCACAUUUAGUGCGGUAUUGAUCCUCUCAUCUCUUCUCUUGGCAAGAAAACAAAUACAUUUUUCAAACUGUCAAACCUUUUUCUUUUUUUUUACUUAAGAGCAUUUCACUUCUAGUGUGUGCUGUAGUUGACUGCUUCUGUGUUCAGCUCAGUUUCGAUUGCUAAACUUUACUUCCCCAAAAGACCUCAUCUGACAUGUUAAGUGCCAUAUUAUGUCAGUUUGAGUUAGCUUCACUGUACAUGUUUAAUAUGCUCUGUGUUAACCUGCCAAUAUUGGCACAAAUAUGCUGUAGCUCCUUUAUUACAUGUCCAAUUCCCAGUUGUGGUGAAAAAUGGUUUCAAUCUAGAUGUCUUGGUUGUAGCAUAUCCAAAGGAGCAGCGACUAAAGUAAUUUGACAGGUGAUAAAAGAGGGCUGUGCUAAUCAACUGCUUGUAGAAGACUACUUUAUACUCGCUAGCAAUAUCAUUUCCAGUGUUUUUCUGUAUGUUUAUUUUGCCCCUGUGUAAUUUUCAUUUUUCAAUAAAUGUGUACACUCCUCAUACAGACAGUUACUGUAUGUUGGUACUGGCAGCCAUAGCAUGAAUAUCUACAAUGAAAACCAAAGGGUCUCAAUACAGUUUCAUUAUCUCACUUAUGUAAAUCAGUGUCUCUUUUUCUGUUUUCUAAAAAACCUAUUUCAGCAUCCAGUCACCAGUCAGAGAUGAGAAAUGGCUUCAAUCUGGGUUUCAUUACUAAAGCGAACCCCAAGCAGCAGCAUGAACAUGAACUUCCCAGAGUAACAUGACAGGUGAUCUAACAGGGCACUGCUUAAUCAACACACUGACAAACUACUAGUGGAUGACUACUAAGCGCUACACUUUGAAGGGUUGAACAGCAGGACUGGAGGAAUGAACAACUGGCAGGGAACUAAAACUCCCCGAGGACCCGAUAUGUCAGCCAGAUAGAACCAAGAUGGAGUAAGCCUUUGUUCUUCACAACAGGCUCCACUUCAUCACAUACCAAAGCUCUGAUUGCCCUCCGGGCCAUUAGACAGUGGAAAACAGGGCAGGUGGAUCACCAACAUCCUGUGGGACCAGAUGCAGCACAUGCAGCUGGGGAAACUCUGACUCCCGGAACCAUCAGCACCGGAUCCCCCCAUGGCUGUGUCCUUUCUCCUCUGCUUUUCUCCCUUUACACCAACACCUGCACCUCCAAUUAUCAGUCAUUAAAGUUCCUAAAGUUUGCGGACGACACCAUCCUCAUUGGAGACUUAUCUCUGAUGGGGAGCUGAACAUCAGCUUCCUAAUGAAGGAAGCGCAGAAGAGGUUGUACUUCCUGCUGCAGUUGAAGAAGUUCAACUUGCAAAGGACAAUGAUGGUGAACUUCUACACUGCCAUCAUCGAAUCCAUCCUCACCUCCUCCAUCACCACCUGAUACGCUGCUGCCACUGCCAAGGAAAAGAGCAGACUGCAGUUUAUCAUUCACUCUGCUAUGACGUGUUUUGACAUUUUUAUGCCUAACUAUACUAAGAUGUUUUUUGACAUUUUUAUGUCCAACUAUACUAUGACAUAUUUUGACAUUUUUAUGACUUACUAUACUUUUGACAUUUUUUGAUGUUUGUAGACCUAACCAUACUAUGAUGUUUUUUUGGUCAUUUUAUACCUUAGUAUACUACGAUGUUUUUUGAAAUUUGUAUGCCUUACAAUAUAUGACCUCUUUUGAUGUUUGUAUGCAUUACUAUACUAUGUCAUUUUUUGAGGUUUUUAUGCUUUAUUAUACUUUGAUAUUUUUUUGCUAAUUCAUGCCCUACUAUACUUUGACCUUUUCGACAUUUGUCUAUAAUGUUUAUAUGCCUUACUAUAGCAUGUUUUUUGACAUUUUUAUGCCUUAUUAUAUAUGUUUUUUGAUGUUUUUAUGCCUUACUAUAUUAUGAUGUUAUUAUGCAUUGUUAUAGCAUGUCGUUUUUUGACAUUUUUAUGCAUUACUAUACAAGGACAUUUUUUUCACACCCCACUGAACUAUUGCACAUUCCCCCAGUGAUUUUGCAGUGUACAUAUUUUUCUUGUUUAUGUUUAUAGUUUCCUAUGUUCUCUUUUAUAUCAUUUUUCUUCAUAUUUUAUUGUAAAUAUUUUAUGUUGUUGUUAAAAUUUUCUUUGUAUAUCUAAGAUGUCUGUUCUGCAGAACUUGCUUGUUUCAUCUUUGUUUAUAUUUCUUUUCUUCUUGCAAUGUCUAUUUAUAUGCACCAAAGAAACACAGCAAGUUCCUUGUAUGUUGAAAACUUAUUUUGCAGUAAACCACAUUCUGAUUCUGAA